GCACCUGCAAAUUCAGGUGCCGGGUUUAGCAGCCUGACUAUCAACGCGGACAGCCGCCGUUUUUCGUAGUGCGGUUUUUUU
rnacentral:sRNA from 3 species